CUUACCCCGUGCAUUAAUUAAUUAUAUUACUCCUUUCUUUUGUUAAUUACAAAAAAUGUUCAGUACCUCUGAUUUCAUGAACAAAUCUUUUUUGGUUUCUUCAUUCSAACCUAACAACUUCAAUGGCAUUCACAACAAUGCUGCAAUAUGUCUUGACUACAGUAACUGUUACAAAGAUUCAUUGGACCCCAAGAAGGUGAAAGGAAAGAUUGUAUACUGCGACAACUUUUAUGAUGCACCCGAUUACAAUGUGAAGAAAAUGGGAGGGGUUGGAACCAUACUAAAAUCGAAUUUCGGACCUUUUGAUUAUGCCUCCGUUUUGAUCUCACCAUCGACCACGGUAAACCAUACUCGAGGGCAAAUAAUAAUGGACUACAUUAAUUCCACAAGUUCUCCCAAAGCCGUGAUAUUCAAAACCCAGGCCAUGAAAGUUGCUGCUCCAUCUGUGACUAYAUACGUUUUCAUCUAGAGGACCUAAUCCUGUAUCAAACAAAGUUCUAAAGCUUGAUAUUGCGGCUCCGGGUGCCAACAUCUUGGCUGCGUACACAGGAAUCAUGUCAAUUAAUUUCCGGCUGGCCAGAUGAUGAUCGGUUUUCCAAAUUCGUAGUGAUGUCUGCUACUUCCAUGCAUGGAUAAAACUAAGCUCACUUUCUCUCUCGCUGAUCAUCUUCAAAUGUAUUCUUCAAUGCACCCAAAUGRAUAAGUGGGGUGGCUGCCUAUGUCAAAUCAAUGCAUCCAACUUGGUCGCCGGCAGCCAUCAAAUCUGCCAUCAUGACAACCGCUACGCCAGUGAAUUCUACUGUCAACCAAGAGGCCAAAUUUGCGUAUGGUGCUGGUCAGGUGAACCCACUGAAGGCUGUCUCACCUGGAUUGGUCUAUGACAUGAAUGAAAUGCAACACAUUGAGUUCUUAUGCAAAGAAGGUUACAGCGGUACAACCCUAAGUAUGAUAAUUGACUCAAAUCCUAUCGACUGCUCCUCACUUCCAUGCAGCUAACUGUGAAUGAAGCUAUUGAGCCGGUARCUGGCGUGUUCAGAAGGACAGUCACUAAUGUGGGGUUAGCAGGGUCCAUAUACAAUGCCACCAUAAAUGCAGCACCUGGUGUAGAGAUUACUGUCGAGCUCAUGAGUCUGUCAUUUUCUAGCAUUGGUGAGAAGAAGAGCUUCACUGUAUCGGUCAAGGCAAAACCCAAGAAUGAUCAGAGCUUCACUGUAUCGGUCAAGGAAAAACCCAAGAAGCAUAGCUUCACUGUAUCGGUCAACAUUUCCCCAGUUUGUGAUCCCAUAUUGGUUGGAGAUAGUUUGAAUUCUUUUCAAGUUUCGGAUACUUCUUUAAAGAAAUAUGCAAAAUCAAUUAUGAUUAUUCUUUUUUAGUGAUUGGUUGAA